rnacentral:lncRNA from 1 species
GGCUUCUAAACAACCUACCCUCCUUCCCCAUUUUCUGUGGUCCAACUACCCUCGGCGAUCCCAGGCUUGGCGGGGCACCGCCUGGCCUCUCCCGUUCCUUUAGGCUGCCGCCGCUGCCUGCCGCCAUGGCAGAGUUGGGCCUAAAUGAGCACCAUCAAAAUGAAGUUAUUAAUUAUAUGCGUUUUGCUCGUUCAAAGAGAGGCUUGAGACUCAAAACUGUAGAUUCCUGCUUCCAAGACCUCAAGGAGAGCAGGCUGGAGUGCGGUGGCAUGAUGUCGGCUCACUGCAACCUCCACCUUCUGGUUACAAGCGAUUCUCCUGCCUCAGCCUCCUAAGUAGCUAAGAUUAAGGCACGUGCCACCACACCCAGGCUGGUGGAGGACACCUUCACCAUAGAUGAAGUCUCUGAAGUCCUCAAUGGAUUACAAGCUGUGGUUCAUAGUGAGGUGGAAUCUGAGCUCAUCAACACUGCCUAUACCAAUGUGUUACUUCUGCGACAGCUGUUUGCACAAGCUGAGAAGUGGUAUCUUAAGCUACAGACAGACAUCUCUGAACUUGAAAACCGAGAAUUAUUAGAACAAGUUGCAGAAUUUGAAAAAGCAGAGAUUACAUCUUCAAACAAAAAGCCCAUCUUAGAUGUCACAAAGCCAAAACUUGCUCCACUUAAUGAAGGUGGAACAGCAGAACUCCUAAACAAGGAAAUUUUAAGACUUCAAGAAGAGAAUGAGAAAUUGAAGUCAAGGUUGAAGACCAUUGAAAUACAGGCUACAAAUGCACUGGAUGAAAAGUCAAAACUAGAAAAAGCACUG